CCCUUAGAUGCUCUGGGCCGCACGCGCGCUACACUGGUCGAUGCAACGAGUUUCUUUCCUUGGCCGACAGGCCUGGGCAAUCUUUGAACAUCGAUCGUGAUCGGGAUAGAUUCUUGUAAUUUUUGAUCUUAAACGAGGAAUUCCUAGUAAACGCAAGUCAUCAGCUUGCAUUGAUUACGUCCCUGCUCUUUGUACACACCGCCCGUCGCACCUACCGAUUGAAUGGUCCGGUGAAAUCUCCGGACUGGCGUGAGUCGGAGCAAUCUGACAAACACCGGAAAGUUGAUUAAACCUUACCAUUUAGAGGAAGGUGAAGUCGUANCA
rnacentral:rRNA from 1 species